rnacentral:lncRNA from 1 species
AGACUUCUAUUGAGGGACUUAGUCGAGGAGAGUUUCUCAUAAUUUUAUUAAAAUUAGUCCAAUAACAAACACAGGAUUAUACUAACUUUUACUCUAGAUACUAACUUUUAAUCCAGUGUGAAAACUAGUGAAGGCAAACAAGUGCACCAAUAAUAGAGCAAAACAACAUUAACGUAUAGUUUGGACAAGAAUGCAUGACAUACAUGUUUGUCGCAUCUUAUAUAUAACAAAAAAAUUGGAAUGCGACUGAUACAUUACUUUUGCAAUGGUCUUAACUGUGUUCGGUGGCUUGGGAUUAGCUCUUAGUUUAAUUUUUAUUAAUUACGUUUAAAAUGGUUUAACUGGGUUAGGUGGCUUGCGAUUAGCUCAUAGUUUAAUUUUUAUUAAUUUAUUACUAAUUAUGGAUUAGUUGGUUUAUUAUAGUAAACACGAAUUUUCCUGCGAUGAAUGAGACAAGAACACGUGUACAAAAUAAUAUUUUGUAUUAAUUUUGGAGUUACAAUCUCUUUUACAAUUUGAUCCUUUGAUUCUAUCUUCGUAAGGUGUAGAUUUGUGGAUGGG